AACGAACGCUGGCGGCGGGCCUCAUACAAGCAAGUCGAGCGCGUGUAGCAAUACACGAGCGGCGUACGGGUGAGUAACGGGUGGAUAACCUACCUCUGGGUGGGGGAUAACGGCUGGAAACGGCCGCUAAUACCGCAUACGGUUACUGGUCUUCGGACCGGUAAAGAAAGGGGCCUCUAAAGCCUCGCCGGGAGAUGGGUCCGCCUUCGAUUAGCUAGUUGGUAGGGUAAUGGCCUACCAAGGCGAUGAGCGAUAGCGGGACUGAGAGGAUGAUCAGCCACACUGGAACUGAGACACGGUCCAGACUCCAACGGGAGGCAGCAGUGGGGAAUCUUGCGCAAGGGGCGAAAGCCUGACGCAGCGACGCCGCGUGAGUGAUGAAGGCCCUCGGGUUGUAAAGCUCUGUGGAGAGGGACGAAUAAGUGUUGGCUAAUAUCCAGCAUGAUGACGGUACCCCUUUAGCAAGCACCGGCUAACUCUGUGCCAGCCGCCGCGGUAACAC
rnacentral:rRNA from 1 species